rnacentral:lncRNA from 1 species
GGCCACACCCUGGGUUGGAACUUCUCCAACGCGACCGUGGGCUUCGUGUGCAGCUUCGUGGGCGUCUCCUGCUGGAACCUGCAGGAGAACCGCGUGCUGGCGCUCAACCUCAAGUCCAUGUCUCUCGCCGGCUCCGUCCCCUCCGACCUCCAGUACUGCAGCGCCGCCAACGUCCUCGACCUCUCCUCCAACACCAUCUCCGGCCCCAUCCCCAACGAGCUCUGUUCCUGGCUCCCCUAUCUCGUCACCCUCGACCUCUCCAACAACCAGUUCACCGGCGGCAUCCCUCCCACCCUCUCCAACUGCAGGUUCCUCAACACCCUCGUGCUCGCCGGAAACCAGCUCCAGGGCGCCAUUCCUGCCACCCUCUCCCAGCUCAACCGCCUCACCCACCUCGAUCUCUC